rnacentral:rRNA from 1 species
UACAGAGGUCUCGAGCGUUGUUCGGAUUCAUUGGGCGUAAAGGGCGCGUAGGCGGCGGGGUAAGUCUGGUGUGAAAUCUCGGAGCUCAACUCCGAAAUUGCACUGGAUACUGCUCUGCUAGAGGGUUGGAGAGGAGAUCGGAAUUCACGGUGUAGCAGUGAAAUGCGUAGAUAUCGUGAGGAAGACCAGUGGCGAAGGCGGAUCUCUGGACAGCUCCUGACGCUGAGGCGCGAAGGCUAGGGGAGCAAACGGG